rnacentral:rRNA from 1 species
UAGUCCACGCCGUAAACGAUGAUUACUCGAUGUUGGCAAUACACCGUCAGCGUCCAAGCGAAAGCGUUAAGUAAUCCACCUGGGGAGUACGAUCGCAAGAUUGAAACUCAAAGGAAUUGACGGGGGCCCGCACAAGCGGAGGAGCAUGUGGUUUAAUUCGAUGAUACGCGAGGAACCUUACCUGGGCUCUAAUGCGAGCGCUAUCUGGUGAAAGCCGGAGUUCCUUCGGGACGCGAAGCAAGGUGCUGCAUGGUUGUCGUCAGCUCGUGCCGUGAGGUGUUGGGUUAAGUCCCGCAACGAGCGCAACCCCUAUUGUUAGUUGCCAGCAUUAAGUUGGGGACUCUAACAAGACUGCCCGCGUAAGCGGAGAGGAAGGUGGGGAUGACGUCAAAUCAUCAUGGCCUUUAUGCCCAGGGCGACACACGUGCUACAAUGGUACAUACAGAGGGUCGCAAACUCGCGAGAGUAAGCCAAUCCCAGAAAGCUGGUCCCAGUUCGGA